rnacentral:rRNA from 1 species
AAGAUGAUGUAUAGGGGGUGACGCCUGCCCGGUGCUGGAAGAUUAAAUGAUGGGGUGCAAGCUCUUGAUUGAAGUCCCAGUAAACGGCGGCCGUAACAAUAACGGUCCUAAGGUAGCGAAAUUCCUUGUCGGGUAAGUUCCGACCUGCACGAAUGGCGUAACGAUGGCGGCGCUGUCUCCACCCGAGACUCAGUGAAAUUGAAAUCGCUGUGACGAUGCAGUGUUCCCGCGGCAAGACGGAAAGACCCCGUGAACCUUCACUACAACUUUACAUUGGACUUUGAAAUUGCUUGUGUAGGAUAGGUGGGAGGCUUUGAAGCGUGGACGCCAGUUCGCGUGGAGCCAACCUUGAAAUACCACCCUGGCAACUUUGAGGUUCUAACUCAGGUCCGUUAUCCGGAUCGAGGACAGUGUAUGGUGGGUAGUUUGACUGGGGCGGUCUCCUCC